rnacentral:lncRNA from 1 species
ACCUGUCCUUAAAUUCAAUCUGCAGUCAUACUCUGAAUUUGGUAUCAUUAUUUCCCCUCUGAGAACUGUUAUCGAUGGAUUACAAAUCCAAGCCUUAAUGCCCUCCUCUGCCUGGAGAGCAACUGGUGUUAAGAUAUUCUUUACUUCAAUUGGUGGCUUCUCGUCGCUAUCAGCAGGCAAGCCUUCCCAUGCUUUCAGCCUAACGCAUCUGUCU